rnacentral:lncRNA from 1 species
UGCCGCUGCUCAGGCCGCCCGGGUGGGACGAAGCUCUCCCGGUCUUACUCGCGGUGGCGGUUACAAUCCUGGUGGCUUCCCGGAGCCUGGGGCAGUCAGUCCCGCCUAGCCGGCCCUGCGCCCUGCUGCUAGUACAGAAGCCUCCUCAUUCCCGGUGGACGGUGGGGCGUCAGGACGCAUGGACCGGCCCUAGUCACUGUCACGACGAUCACUCUUUCGAUUUGCUUCUUCCUUUCAAAGGUGAGCCAAGAUGGGUGCAUACAAAUACAUCCAGGAGCUGUGGAGGAAGAAGCAGUCCGACGUGAUGCGCUUCCUUCUAAGGGUCCGCUGCUGGCAGUACCGCCAGCUCUCUGCGCUGCACAGGGCUCCCCGCCCCACCCGGCCUGAUAAGGCGCGAAGGCUGGGAUACAAGGCUAAGCAAGGUUAUGUCAUUUACAGGAUCCGUGUCCGCCGCGGUGGUCGCAAGCGCCCAGUUCCUAAGGGUGCAACCUACGGCAAGCCUGUCCACCACGGUGUUAA